rnacentral:rRNA from 1 species
CGGACGGGUGAGUAACGCGUGGGUAACCUGCCCUGUACAGGGGGAUAACAGCUGGAAACGGCUGCUAAUACCGCAUAAGCGCACGAGGGGACAUCUCCUUGUGUGAAAAACUCCGGUGGUACAGGAUGGGCCCGCGUCUGAUUAGCUGGUUGGCAGGGUAACGGCCUACCAAGGCAACGAUCAGUAGCCGGUCUGAGAGGAUGAACGGCCACAUUGGAAUUGAGACACGGUCCAA